AUUCGAUGUCGACUCUUAAACCACUGUUUACCAAACUUCGUUGCUUCGGGGCAGGCGGCGCGGGUCAGCGUAGGCCCGCGAUCGUGCCCCCCGAGGACACCACAAGACCAUUUUGUCAGAGGAUCGUCUGAUUACUUCUUUUAAAGAAAAACAACUUUCAACAAUGGAUCUCUUGGCUCUGGCAUCGAUGAAGAACGCAGCGAAAUGCGAUAGCUAGUGUGAAUUGCAGAUUUCAGUGAAUCAUCGAGUUUUUGAACGCACAUUGCGCCUCUUGGUAUUCCUCGAGGCAUGCCUAUUCGAGCGUCGUUUCGACCUUCAAGCGCAAGCUUGGUGUUGGGGACCGCCCUUUGGUUAGCGGCGGCCUUCGAAUUGAUCGGCGGGUACACGAGGUGUGUAGCCUGGAGCGCAGCAGCGAUGCGGUCUCCUUAGGGCGCCCGAACCCAGCCGGAAAACGAAACUUAUCCACACGUCGACCUCGAAUUAGGUAGGGAUACCCGCUGAACUUAAGCAUAUCAAAAACCGGGAGGAAGG
rnacentral:rRNA from 1 species